rnacentral:rRNA from 1 species
UACGGAAGGCAGCAGUGGGGAAUAUUGCACAAUGGGCGCAAGCCUGAUGCAGCCAUGCCGCGUGUAUGAAGAAGGCCUUCGGGUUGUAAAGUACUUUCAGUCGUGAGGAAGGUGUUAAGGUUAAUAACCUUAGCAAUUGACGUUAGCGACAGAAGAAGCACCGGCUAACUCCGUGCCAGCAGCCGCGGUAAUACGGAGGGUGCGAGCGUUAAUCGGAAUUACUGGGCGUAAAGGGCACGCAGGCGGUUAAUUAAGUUGGAUGUGAAAUCCCCGGGCUUAACCUGGGAAUGGCAUUCAAGACUGGUUAGCUAGAGUCUUGUAGAGGGGGUAGAAUUCCAUGUGUAGCGGUGAAAUGCGUAGAGAUGUGGAGGAAUACCGGUGGCGAAGGCGGCCCCUGGACAAAGACUGACGCUCAUGUGCGAAAGCGUGGGAAGCAAACAGGGAUUAGAUACC